rnacentral:rRNA from 1 species
UACGGAGGGGGCUAGCGUUGUUCGGAAUUACUGGGCGUAAAGCGCACGUAGGCGGCUUUGUAAGUUAGAGGUGAAAGCCCAGGGCUUAACCCUGGAAUUGCCUUUAAGACUGCAUCGCUAGAAUUGUGGAGAGGUAAGUGGAAUUCCCGGUGUAGUGGUGAAAUGCGUAGAUAUCGGGAGGAACACCAAUGGCGAAGGCAGCACUCUGGGACGGUACUGACGCUGAGACGGCGAAAGCGUGGGGAGCAAACAGG